CCUACGGGAGGCAGCAGUAUGGAAUUUUGGUCAGUGGGGGAGAGGCUGAACGAGCAAUGCCGCGUGAACGAGGAAGGUCUUCGGAUCGUAAAGUUCUGUUGAAGGGGGAAAAGAGCGGAGAGAGGAAAUGGUCUCCGAUUGAUAUUACCCUUCGAGGAAGUCACGGCUAACUACGUGCCAGCAGCCGCGGUAAUACGUAGGUGGCGAGCGUUAUCCGGAUUGAUUGGGCGUAAAGGGUGCGUAGGCGGCCUGCUAAGUCUGGAGUGAAAGGUACCGGCUCAACCGGUACAGGCUCUGGAAACUGGCGGGCUAGAGAGCAGGAGAGGGCGGUGGAACUCGAUGUGUAGCGGUAAAAUGCGUAGAUAUAUGGAAGAACACCAGUGGCGAAGGCGGCCGCCUGGCGUGUUACUGACGCUGAGGCACGAAAGCGUGGGGAGCAAAUAGGAUUAGAUACCCUGGUAGUC
rnacentral:rRNA from 1 species